GAUGAACGCUGGCGGCGUGCCUAAUACAUGCAAGUCGAGCGAACGGACGAGAAGCUUGCUUCUCUGAUGUUAGCGGCGGACGGGUGAGUAACACGUGGAUAACCUACCUAUAAGACUGGGAUAACUUCGGGAAACCGUAGCUAAUACCGGAUAAUAUUUUGAACCGCAUGGUUCAAAAGUGAAAGACGGUCUUGCUGUCACUUAUAGAUGGAUCCGCGCUGCAUUAGCUAGUUGGUAAGGUAACGGCUUACCAAGGCAACGAUGCAUAGCCGACCUGAGAGGGGGAUCGGCCACACUGAACUGAGACACGGUCCAGACUCCUACGGGAGGCAGCAGUAGGGAAUCUUCCGCAAUGGGCGAAAGCCUGACGGAGCAACGCCGCGUGAGUGAUGAAGGUCUUCGGAUCGUAAAACUCUGUUAUUAGGGAAGAACAUAUGUGUAAGUAACUGUGCACAUCUUGACGGUACCAAAUCAGAAAGCCACGGCUAACUACGUG
rnacentral:rRNA from 1 species